rnacentral:rRNA from 1 species
UGGGGAAUAUUGCACAAUGGGCGAAAGCCUGAUGCAGCGACGCCGCGUGAGGGAUGACGGCCUUCGGGUUGUAAACCUCUUUCAGCAGGGACGAAGCGCAAGUGACGGUACCUGCAGAAGAAGCACCGGCUAACUACGUGCCAGCAGCCGCGGUAAUACGUAGGGUGCAAGCGUUGUCCGGAAUUACUGGGCGUAAAGAGUUCGUAGGCGGUUUGUCGCGUCGUUUGUGAAAACCAGCAGCUCAACUGCUGGCUUGCAGGCGAUACGGGAAGACUUGAGUACUGCAGGGGAGACUGGAAUUCCUGGUGUAGCGAUGAAAUGCGCAGAUAUCAGGAGGAACACCGGUGGCGAAGGCGGGUCUCUGGGCAGUAACUGACGCUGAGGAACGAAAGCGUGGGUAGCGAACAGG